GCAAUAGCUUAGUUGGUUAGAGCGUGGUGCUGACAAUGCCAAGGUUGCGGGUUCGAUCCCUGUCUCCUCCAUAUCUGCA